rnacentral:rRNA from 1 species
CCCUUAGAUGUCCGGGGCCGCACGCGCGCUACACUGAAGGAAUCAGCGUGGCUUUCUCCCUGACCCGAAAGGGUUGGGAAACCCGUUGAAUCUCCUUCGUGAUAGGGAUUGGGGCUUGAAAUUGUUCCCCAUGAACGAGGAAUUCCCAGUAAGCGCGAGUCAUAAGCUCGCGUUGAUUACGUCCCUGCCCUUUGUACACACCGCCCGUCGCUACUACCGAUUGAACGGUUUAGUGAGGGCCUCGGAUUGGUCUCGGCCCGCUCUUUACCGGGCGGCGCCGUUGGUCGAGAAGACGCUCGAACUCGAUCGCUUGGAGAAAGUAAAAGUCGUAACA